UUCCGGUUGAUCCCGCCGGACCUGACUGCUAUCGGAUUGAUACUAAGCCAUGCGAGUCUUUGUAGUAAUACAAGGCAUACGGCUCAGUAACGCGUAGUCAACCUACCCUAUGGACAAGAAUAAUCUCGGGAAACUGAGCAUAAUUCUUGAUAGAUCAUAAUGCCUGGAAUGGUUUAUGGUUAAAAUGAUUCGUCGCCAUAGGAUGGGACUGCGGCCUAUCAGCUUGUUGGUGAGGUAAUGGCCCACCAAGGCGAUUACAGGUACGGGCUCUGAGAGGAGAAGCCCGGAGAUGGGUACUGAGACAAGGACCCAGGCCCUAUGGGGCGCAGCAGGCGAGAAAACUUUGCAAUGUGCGAAAGCACGACAAGGUUAGUCCGAGUGAUUUCUGCUAAAGAGAUCUUUUGCUAGUUAUAAAACCACUAGUGAAUAAGGGGUGGGCAAGUUCUGGUGUCAGCCGCCGCGGUAAAACCAGCACCUCAAGUGGUCAGGAUGAUUAUUGGGCCUAAAGCAUCCGCAGCCGGCUCUGUAAGUUUUCGGUUAAAUCUAUGCGCUCAACGUAUGGGCUGCCGAAAAUACUGCAGAGAUAGGGAGUGGGAGAGGUAGGCGGUACUCGGUAGGAAGGGGUAAAAUCCUUUGAUCUAUCGAUGACCACCUGUGGCGAAGGCGGUCUACCAGAACACGUUCGACGGUGAGGGAUGAAAGCUGGGGGAGCAAACCGGAUUAGAUACCCAGGUAGUCCCAGCCGUAAACGAUGCAGACUCGAUGAUGCAUUGGCAUAUAGCCAGUGCAGUGUCGCAGGGAAGCCGUUAAGUCUGCCGCCUGGGAAGUACGUACGCAAGUAUGAAACUUAAAGGAAUUGGCGGGGGAGCACCACAAGGGGUGAAGCCUGCGGUUCAAUUGGAAUCAACGCCGGA
rnacentral:rRNA from 1 species